GCCCACUCCGACCCAGGCCCCGCCCCACCUGAGGCCCGCGGCCCCGCCCACAGGCGCGGCCCCGCCCACAGCCCCUAGCCUACUGACAUUCGCGACCCAGAUUCUACCUGGGCCUUUGGCGCCGCCUCCAGGCCUCGUCAGGCACGGCUCCCCGGAAGACCCGGCCAGUGCGACCCACCCAGCGCGCCUAGCUCCGCCCCGAGCCCCUCUUCCCCGCCGCCUAACGCUCCCAGCCCCUCAGCCUGCUCGGCACAGGCCGACCCCCUUCCGGAGGCCUGGACCAUAGAGAGGAUGCGCGGGCCAGAGAGCCUGUGACCAACGAGACUCGCAAGCUAGAGCGGCCCGGGCAGGCGGCCUUCCAGUCUCCAUGGCAACCAAGUGAAGACACCGAGUGCUGCAGCAGGCCCCCCAGCGUGAGUCUGGGGUUCAGCGCUGCCGCCUGCUCUCCCUUCCCGUGGCCUCCUCCUGUUUCCAUAUUCCUGGAACAUCUCCUGUGCCCUGUGCCCCACUUCCUCCUCUCGCCAGCCCGCGCCUCCCCCUCCCGUCCCCUUCCCCUCCCCUCCUCUCCCAGUGUACAGAGCCUGAGUGUGAGCACCGGCUCCUGACCACUCACCCGAUCCUCCGCGCCUGCUCCCCAGGCUUCAGUCCUAAAAUCUGGAAGGUUGAUAGCAGGCUAGCCAGGACUUCCCUUUGACCCUUGGGACCCACAUCGUGGAAGAAACUCCCAAAACACUAAAUAAAACAAAUAAACAAGAAAGAAUAAAUACAAA